AUAGACCUAGCUGCGCCAACUGCCAACAUUGGUCUACCGCUUCGGAAUACCCGUUUCAAGUCGGAUAACCUGUCUUCCAAAGUGACCCGAUGGAAUCGAGAUAAUUCGCGUAUCUCCUACGGAUCUGCUGUGCAAAAUUUACUGUAUAACACAAUUGUAUUACAAUCCGUUUCUGAAUAAAGAGAAAUUUUUGAAACACGGCUUCUAGCCGCAA